rnacentral:misc_RNA from 1 species
AACGCACGAGACCUGCGGACCUGCGGAGGGAUCAUUAAUGAGAAGCUGCCCCUCGUGGGUAGACCUCCCACCCCCUGUGAACUUACCUUUGUUGCUUUGGCAGGCCCGUCCUCUGGACCGCCGGCUUCGGCUGGCCCGUGCCUGCCAGAGGAUUCCAAACCCUGUCUGUCAGUGUUGUCUGAGUCUAUAUGAAAUCGUUAAAACUUUCAACAACGGAUCUCUAGAUCGGAAGAGCACACG